GGAAUAUUGCGCAAUGGGCGAAAGCCUGACGCAGCAACACCGCGUGGAGGAUGAAGGUUUUAGGAUCGUAAACUCCUGUUAGUUGGGAAGAAAAACUUUUUUUUAAUACAGAAAAGUGAUGACGGUACCAGCAGAGAAAGCACCGGCUAACUUCGUGCCAGCAGCCGCGGUAAUACGAGGGGUGCAAGCGUUAUUCGGAAUAACUGGGCGUAAAGGGUGUGUAGACGGCUUGUUAAGUUCGUUGUUAAAUCUUCCGGCCUAACCGGAAAGCUGCAAUGAAAACUAGCAUGCUAGAGGAUGAGAGAGAGGAGUGGAAUUCCCGGAGUAGCGGUAAAAUGCGUAGAUCUCGGGAGGAACACCAAUGGCGAAGGCAGCUCCUUGGCUCAUUUCUGACGUUGAGACACGAAAGCGUGGGUAGCA
rnacentral:rRNA from 1 species